AACGAACGCUGGCGGCAUGCCUAACACAUGCAAGUCGAACGAAGUCUUCGGACUUAGUGGCGGACGGGUGAGUAACACGUGGGAACGUGCCCUUUGGUACGGAAUAACUCAGGGAAACUUGAGCUAAUACCGUAUGUGCCCUUCGGGGGAAAGAUUUAUCGCCAUUGGAGCGGCCCGCGUCUGAUUAGCUAGUUGGUGAGGUAAAGGCUCACCAAGGCGACGAUCAGUAGCUGGUCUGAGAGGAUGAUCAGCCACAUUGGGACUGAGACACGGCCCAAACUCCUACGGGAGGCAGCAGUGGGUAAUCUUGCGCAAUGGGCGAAAGCCUGACGCAGCCAUGCCGCGUGAAUGAUGAAGGUCUUAGGAUUGUAAAGUUCUUUCACCGGGGACGAUAAUGACGGUACCCGGACAAGAAGCCCCGGCUAACUUCGUGCCAGCCGCCGCAGUAACAC
rnacentral:rRNA from 1 species